UGCCAGCCGCCGCGGUAAUACGGAGGGUGCAAGCGUUGUUCGGAAUUAUUGGGCGUAAAGCGCGUGUAGGCGGUUCGUUAAGUCUGAUGUGAAAGCCCGGGGCUCAACCCCGGAAGUGCAUUGGAAACUGGCAGUCUUGAGUAUGGGAGAGGAAAGUGGAAUUCCGAGUGUAGGAGUGAAAUCCGUAGAUAUUCGGAGGAACACCAGUGGCGAAGGCGGCCACCUGGACCGGUACUGACGCUGAGGCGCGAAAGCGUGGGGAGCAAACAGGAUUAGAUA
rnacentral:rRNA from 1 species